UGUGAAAUCCCAAAGCUUAACUUUGUAACUGCAAUUAAAACUGCUCGACAAGAGUUUGAUAGAGGAAAGCGGAAUACAUAGUGUAGAGGUGAAAUUCGUAGAUAUUAUGUAAAACACCAGUUGCGAAGGCGGCUUUCUGGAUCAACACUGACGCUGAGGCGCGAAAGUAUGGGUAGCAAAGAGGAUUAGAUACCCUCGUAGUCCAUACCAUAAACGAUGAUUGCUAGAUGUUGGAAAUUUAUUUUC
rnacentral:rRNA from 1 species